UACGGAGGGUGCAAGCGUUAUCCGGAUUCACUGGGUUUACAGGGUGUGUAGGCGGGCUGUUAAGUCAGUGGUGAAAUCUCCAGGCUCAACCUGGAAACUGCCAUUGAUACUAUCAGUCUUGAAUUUUGUUGAGGUAGGCGGAAUACGUCAUGUAGCGGUGAAAUGCUUAGAUAUGACAUAGAACACCGAUUGCGAAGGCAGCUUACUAAGCAAAUAUUGACGCUGAGGCACGAAAGCGUGGGGAUCAAACAGG
rnacentral:rRNA from 1 species